rnacentral:tRNA from 1 species
GUAGACGCGCAUGGUUCAGGUCCAUGUGCCUUCGGGUGUAGGGGUUCGAGUCCCUUCGUGGGCACCA